GUUAUUUAAAAUAUCUAAAUAAGUCUAUGGCCUGAUCCCGUCUGAUCUCGGAAGCUAAGCAGGGUCGGGCCUGGUUAGUACUUGGAUAGGAGACCACCUAGGAAGACCAGGUGUUGUAGGCA
rnacentral:rRNA from 1 species